rnacentral:rRNA from 1 species
UUAGCUGCAGAAGAAGCACCGGCUAACUCCGUGCCAGCUAGCCGCGGUAAUACGGAGGGUGCGAGCGUUAAUCGGAAUUACUGGGCGUAAAGCGCAUGCAGGUGGUUUGUUAAGUCAGAUGUGAAAGCCCGGGGCUCAACCUCGGAAUUGCAUUUGAAACUGGCAAACUAGAGUACUGUAGAGGGGGUAGAAUUUCAGGUGUAGCGGUGAAAUGCGUAGUAGAUCUAGAAGGUAAUACCCGGUGGCGAAGGCGGCCCCCCUGGACAGGAUACUGACACUCAGAUCGCGAAAGCGUGGGGAGCAAACAGGAUUAGAUACCCUCGGUAG